GGAGAGCGGACACAAGUGUGGGAAGCCGUGGAGGAUAUCGAGCUUUUCCCCGGGUCCUUCAGCUGAGCCGCACCUCCAAGAUGAUGAGUUAUUAUAUGGACACAGCCAUCAGCAGUGCAGCUCCUUAUGCUUUGGCUCGGCCUGGAAUGAUGAAACAGGGAGUGCCCGUUCCCUGCGAGGAUCCCUGGGUGACCUGUGCCUUCCAGGCCUCCUGCUGCCAGCCCCGGCCCUGCUGCCCGCUCUGGGACGAGCCCGCCACGCAGGAGGUGCCCA